rnacentral:piRNA from 1 species
UGGUGAAUACCCUUGUCUGGGUAAGAC